CUACGGGACUUUCGUGGUUUAGCUGUUCCAAGCUUCCUACAGACGACGCCAAUCUGUUGACCUUCGAAAGUGCCCAAUAGGUGUCGUUAAAGGACGAUAUACACGUGGGCGUAGUUUACCGUAUAUAAAUCGUAAACAGUAUGUUUGUGGAAGAAGAUGAAUAGUAGGCAAUGAAAGUGUAUUGUAUUCUCUUGUCUAUAUUUUCUAAGAUCCUUUUAAAUGAUACAAGAAUUGCCUAUUUAUAGUAAUCAGGCCGACGUGGUCAUCGUUGGAUUGGAUCUACGUGGCUUUAUUUGUCGACCCUAACUGUUACAUCAACUCUAUUACACAUUAAUUACAUUGAUAGACUUUUGACAAAAGGUCAGCCACUUUAUAAACUUAGGCUGACAUUCCUGACACUCAUUAACUGCGCACGUCACAUCAGUCAACUCUGAAGAUGUGCUUGCCCGACCCUCUUUUGGUUGUAAAGAAUUUCGGAUAAUAGAAGGUAAACCACCUCGGCAGAACUUAGUGUAACGACCUCGGCACUUCAUUUGACAGCUUCGGACAUUAAUCACUUCUAUACCAAUUCUUGGGUGCUUGCCAUGUAUAUGAAUGUGAGGUCUCCACGUGGAUCAUUCUGUAUUGAUCAGUAAC
rnacentral:lncRNA from 1 species